AGAACGAACGCUGGCGGCAUGCCUAAUACAUGCAAGUCGAACGAACUCUUCGGAGUUAGUGGCGCACGGGUGCGUAACGCGUGGGAAUCUGCCCCUUGGUUCGGAAUAACAGUUGGAAACGACUGCUAAUACCGGAUGAUGACGAAAGUCCAAAGAUUUAUCGCCAAGGGAUGAGCCCGCGUAGGAUUAGCUAGUUGGUGAGGUAAAGGCUCACCAAGGCAACGAUCCUUAGCUGGUCUGAGAGGAUGAUCAGCCACACUGGGACUGAGACACGGCCCAGACUCCUACGGGAGGCAGCAGUAGGGAAUAUUGGACAAUGGGCGCAAGCCUGAUCCAGCCAUACCGCGUGGGUGAAGAAGGCCUUCGGGUUGUAAAGCCCUUUGUUAGGGAAAGAAUCCUGCCGGUUAAUAACCGAGUAGGAUGAACGUACCCAAAGAAUAAGCACCGGCUAACUCGUGCCAGCAGCCGC
rnacentral:rRNA from 1 species